UUGGGAUGAAGAUGAAGGCUGAGUCCCUGCGGUUGUGGCUGCCAGCCGGGCCAGCGACUGGCCUGCUGCUCCAGCUCCACUGAGGAAACACAAUAGGGGCAUUGUGACCACUUCCCCAUCCGACACAGUCCCAGUUACUCAUCACGGAUGUUGGCGAGCCUGGCUGAGAACACAGGGUCCUUGUGCCCAGGCUGAACAGCAGACACGGCCGUUGUGUUCAUGACAUAGCCGUCCAGAGGACUCGGCAGAAGACGGGUCAACCGGAGGUCACGCGGAUGGUCCCUUCCCAAGACCACUCCAGAAAAGAAAUAAUGACGGUGCUCUCCCCUAGGAGGCGCCACAGACAGGACGCUGGGAAGGGCGAUUCUGUGGCUUGGAGCCUUGCAUGGUGUGGAGGAACCUGCUUGCCAUCUGCUUGUCCCCUGAAAGGAAGCCCCGAGGCUUCCUAGCACAUUGGCUAAAACGGUAGCUCUCACGGGCCCUCCAGGAGAUGACUCCAAAUCCUCCCCGUAUUCUGGUCACAUGCCCUGAAUUCUGACACGCUAUGCAGUGUUUCCCCAGCGUCUGCCUGACCGGGUCUCCGGGUUAUUCCAGCUCAGCUCGCUGACGUCUGACCUCUGAGGUUGUCCUCCUCACCCCUGGACUCUUCUUCACCGCUGCCUGGGGAGAGGCACUCGCUGAAUAUUCUGAUAGCUAACAGGAAGCCUGACAUGAGCACAGGAACCAACUGAGCAAGGGUAGUGUGGCUGCCCCCUUCCCGCCGGACACAGGAGCUGGGGCUGCCUGCAGCACCUUGCCCAGCUCCCCCGUGGAAGGCCCUGAGGCAGACUCUAUUAACCCGGUGUCUCUGAAGAUGUAGCUGAGACGGGAAGGCGUUUGUCCAACAGCAAAGCUUUUUCGGAGCCAAGCCUACAUCUCCCUGAGUUCUGGGUCCUGGUUCUGACCUCAUCUCCCACUGCCUACCAGAGUGGGACUGCAUGGGGCUGGCUUGGGCCUGAGUGGCCGUGGGAAAGACAGUCCCAUGGGAACAUGGUCAGCUGGCCCCAUUGAGCUGGGAAGCCUUUGAAACUGGGUGGAGUCCAGUGCGCUGGUGAGUUCCCGUGGCUUCCACAGGCAGGGAACACAGAACUCUGCUCUGACUUGAGGUCCAAAGCCGUGCCAUUGAAAUGGAGGUGGAAGAAAAAAAACUCCAUUCCAGAGCUUUGACAGUGGGGUGCAUCCCAAAGAAGAGGCCUAGGGUCGAAUCACCCUGCCCCAUGCGUUUUCGGCAAACACACCGUGUGCAGAGGCAGACAUUCCGCUGUGAGCCUCACAGGUUUAGGGGAAGAGACUGUGCAGGUCCCAGCUCUGCAGCCAGUGAACUUGGGCAGGCUGAGGCUCCUCUGGCAGGGAGGACGAGAAGCCGGCUGACCUCACUGCAGGACUCUGAAGCAAGCUGUCCGUACCAUGUGCCAUGUCUAAUCACAACAAUGGCUGCCGCUGCCACCACCCCAGAUGACAGAUGAAGAGCCCAUGGCAAAUCGGGGAUGAGUGUUAAUCCCGGCUGAUCCACAGUUACCCGGGUUUGUCUUCACACUACCGGUUAUAUGAACUGAGUGGACUUCAAGCCAGAACCCUCUGAUCCAAAAGCUCUUGGCAUCCUUCACCUGGACCCUCGCAGCCAGAACUUGAGCCUUGGGCCCCUAUGAGCAGCAACACUCUGGCCUUCACCCCAGAGCAGGGAGCCCAAGGUGGAUUAAGACUGGCUGUCAGAGAAGCAGGGAUGAUGAGGGACAGGAUGAGCGAGAAAAUGCAACCAACCCCAAGGACUCCUUGGACAGCAAAGUCACGGUUGGCACUACUUCCUGGAACAGUAAACGCCCGUGUCCCAGACUCCUAAUCUAGAGCUGUGAGUUCCCAGGGUGUGUGGAGAGCACUGGUUCCCAACCUCCCCAAUGCUGCCACCCUUGAAUACAGUUCCUCAUGCUGUGGUGUCCCCCAACCAUAAAAUUAUUUUCAUUGCUA